rnacentral:lncRNA from 1 species
GUGUUGGAAUUGGUGAUGUUGUUUUGUGGAAUUGAAUUAUUGUGCCUCUUAUCUGUAAAGUUAUUCUCUUGAAUACUUUUAGGCAUGAUUAUAAGUUCUUCUGUGGCAAAUCUUGUCAUCAUCAACACUCACUGACUGUGUGGCAAAUCUUGUCAUCAUCAAUACUCACUGACUGUGUCUUUACAGAUGUCUCGCGGCACUCGAGGUGCGGAAAAUCGUGCGAACAUGAAUCCACCCCCUCCUCCUCCACCACCGAAUCCAGCUGAGCUGAUGCAAAUGAUGGUGGAAAGUCAGAGGCUGCUCACUGAGACCAUUAAUCAGAUGGCAAACUAGGGUGGUCGGAAUGCACAACAUGCGCCAGCGCCUAAUCAGUACAGC